rnacentral:rRNA from 1 species
ACUUAGUGGCGGACGGGUGAGUAAUGUAUGAGCAACCUGCCUUUCAGUGGGGGACAACAGUUGGAAACGACUGCUAAUACCGCAUGAUGUCGAUUGGGGGCAUCCCCGAAUGACCAAAGGAUUUAUUCGCUGAAAGAUGGGCUCAUAUCUGAUUAGCUAGUUGGUGAGGUAACGGCUCACCAAGGCUGCGAUCAGUAGCCGGACUGAGAGGUUGAACGGCCACAUUGGGACUGAGAUACGGCCCAGACUCCUACGGGAGGCAGCAGUGGGGAAUAUUGGGCAAUGGGGGGAACCCUGACCCAGCAACGCCGCGUGAAGGAAGAAGGCUUUCGGGUUGUAAACUUCUUUUACCAGGGACGAAAUAAAUGACGGUACCUGGAGAAAAAGCAACGGCUAACUACGUGCCAGCAGCCGCGGUAAUACGUAGGUUGCGAGCGUUGUCCGGAUUUACUGGGUGUAAAGGGCGUGUAGGCGGAGAUGCAAGUUGGGAGUGAAAUCCCGGGGCUCAACCCCGGAACUGCUUUCAAAACUGUAUCCCUUGAGUGUCGGAGAGGCAAGCGGAAUUCCUAGUGUAGCGGUGAAAUGCGUAGAUAUUAGGAGGAACACCAGUGGCGAAGGCGGCUUGCUGGACGAUAACUGACGCUGAGGCGCGAAAGUGUGGGGAGCAAACAGGAUUAGAUACCCUAGUAGUCCACGCCGUAAACGAUGAGUACUAAGUGUGGGAAUUUCCAGUGCUGAAGCUAAACGUAUUAAGUACUCCGCCUGAGUAGUACGGUCGCAAGGCUGAAACUCAAAGGAAUUGACGGGCACCCGCACAAGCGGUGGAGCAUGCUGUUUAAUUCGAAGAUACGCGAAGAACCUUACCUAGACUUGACAUCCCUGGCAAAGACAUGGAAACAUGUUGGAGGUUAACCGGGAGACAGGUGGUGCAUGGUUGUCGUCAGCUCGUGUCGUGAGAUGUUCGGUUAAGUCCGCUAACGAGCGCAACCCUUAUCCUUAGUUGCUAACAUUAAGUUGAGAACCCUAAGGAGACUGCCGGUGAUAAGCCGGAGGAAGGUGGGGAUGACGUCAAAUCAUCAUGCCCCUUACGUCUAGGGCUACAGGCGUGCUAUAAUGGCCAAUAUAAAGAGAAGCAAUACCGUGAGGUGGAGCAAAACUCCAAAGUUGGUCUCAGUUCGGAUUGAAGUCUGCAACUCGACUUCAUGAAGUUAGAAUCGCUAGUAAUCCUGAAUCAGAAUGUCAGGGUGAAUACGUUCCUCGGGUGUUGCACUCACCGCCCGUCA